CCUGGUUGAUCCUGCCAGUAGUGUAUGCUUCUCCUAAAGACUAAGCCAUGCAUGUCUCCGAAUAGAAGAGCAAGUCUCUCUGAAUCUGCGAACGGCUCCGCAUACCAGUUGUAAACCAUAGCAAGCAAGCCGCGUUGUUGCCGCAAGGCGACGGCGCGGUUCACAGGGAUAACCCUGGUAAUUCUGAGGCUAAUACAAGAACGUACCACCCGCUUCGACCCGUAAGGGGAGGGCGGGGGUUGUGUGACCCAGGUCGCAAAUAUUAACUGGGAGUGGCCACACGAUCUGACCACCAUACCAAACGGUUAUCCGCUUCGAAAGCUUCGGUGAGUAACGGCGGAUUUCUGGGUGGCUCUCGCUGUGUGCUUCUGACCUAUCAACUAGAUGGCAGCGUAACGGACAUGCCAUGGUAACAACGGGUACAGAGGAUAAGGGUUCGAUCCUGGAGAGUGGGCCUGAGAGAUUGCUCACACUUCUAAGGAAGGCAGCAGGCGCGCAACGUUCCCAUUGGGCAAAGCUCGAGGGCGUUAGGGGACAUAUGAAUGCCUGCCUUAUGGUGGGCAAUUCAAAUGGGACUGUUUUAAACAUCCUAUCGAGUAACAAUUAGAGGACAAGUCUGGUGCCAGCACCCGCGGUAAUUCCAGCUCUAAUAGCAUACGUUAAAGUUGUUGCGGUUAAAACGCUCGUAGUCGGCUCCAGACCUUCAGAGCCUUGAUUCGGGACACUGGGUCAGCUGCUCUUCUCCAAGAGCGCGCCAACUACUGAUGAUAGGGGACGUCGGUCAAUCGUGCCCUGGGCUGUCUCCCCCCCGGGGGAGUCACAGGGUCGUUCAGCGGUCUUCGCGAUCGCGGUUCGGCUCGGCUCGGGGUACCAAUCACCAUGAUUAAACCGUAGUGACCAAAGCACGUCUUUAGACGGGCACGGCACAGCAUGGGACGAAACGCACCGGGCUCGCCUUUUUUUUGCGGGGGCGUGACUCGGUAAAAGCGAAAGGGAUGUUCGAGGGUGACCGAAUUGCUGGGCGAGUGGUGAAAUACGUUGACCCUAGCAAGUCGACCAAAGGCGUAAGCAGUCAUCAAGGGCAUUCCCGUUGAUCAAGAGCGAAAGUUAAGGGUUCGAAGACGAUCAGAUACCGUCGUAGUCUUAACUAUAAAUGAUGCAGACCAGGGAUAGGACAGUGUCCAUCUCGACUCCUUCCGGACCUUGGAGAAAUCACGAGUCUAUGGGUUCUGGGGGGAGUAUGGUCGCAAGGCUGAAACUUAAAGGAAUUGACGGAAGGGCACACAAAGAGUGGAACCUGCGGCUUAAUUUGACUCAACACGGGAAAACUCACCAGGUCCGGAUACACGUAUGAAAGUCAAGCUGAAAGACUUUACUCAAUGAUGUAAGUGGUGGUGCAUGGUCGUUCUUAGUUCGUGGAUUGAUUUGUCUGGUUUAUUCCGAUAACGAGCGAGACCCCGGCGUUCCUAAUAGGGGUGGCAGCCAGACCGGUCGCAAGACAGGUUAGCUCGCCACCUGAAGUUAUGCUUCUUAGACGUAUCAGAGCCGAUAAGGUUCUUGAAAUGGGUUAAUAACAGGUCAGUCAUGCCCUUAGAUGUUCUGGGCCGCACGCGCGUUACAAUGGCAUGUAAAACGAGUGCUUGAACAAGGCGUCCCACGGCCGAAAGGUCGUGGUAACCCUUAGUCCCUGCUUUGACUGGGACAGAUCUUUGCAAUUAUUGGUCUCAAACGAGGAAUUUUUAGUAAUCGCAGGUCAUUAACCUGCGUUGAAUGCGUCCCUGCCCUUUGUACACACCGCCCGUCGCUGCUACCGAUUGGGUUUUACAGUUACGCGUUCGGAGGACGAUGUUUUCGGGUCUUAACGGGCUCCGGGGCGUCGGCCAAAGUUCUAACUACUGUACGGCCUAGAGGAAGCAGAAGUCGUAACAAGGUAAUCGUAGGUGAACCUGCGUUUG
rnacentral:rRNA from 1 species